CUUUUCAUUUUGACUGGCAAUUUUAUCUGAGCUCAGAAGCUAAGAUGGGUCAGACCUGGUUUGUACUUGGAUGGGAAUACCUGGGAUUGUAGGCUAGGAUUGGGAAGU
rnacentral:rRNA from 1 species